AGGACGAACGCUGGCGGCGUGCUUAACACAUGCAAGUCGAGCGAGGUCCAACUGGUGGCAACACCAGGGAAGACCGAGCGGCGAACGGGUGAGUAACACGUGAGCAACCUGUCCCGAAGACCGGGAUAACACCGGGAAACCGGUGCUAAUACCGGAUGUCCCCGCCAGAUCACAUGGUUCGGUGAGGAAAUGGAUUCCGCUUCGGGAGGGGCUCGCGGGCUAUCAGCUUGUUGGUGGGGUAACGGCCCACCAAGGCUACGACGGCUAGCUGGUCUGAGAGGACGACCAGCCACACUGGGACUGAGACACGGCCCAGACUCCUACGGGAGGCAGCAGUGGGGAAUCUUGCGCAAUGGGCGAAAGCCUGACGCAGCAACGCCGCGUGGGGGAUGAAGGCUCUCGGGUUGUAAACCCCUUUCAGCAGGGACGAAAUUGACGGUACCUGCAGAAGAAGCCCCGGCCAACUACGUGCCAGCAGCCGC
rnacentral:rRNA from 1 species